UACAGAGGGUGCGAGCGUUAAUCGGAAUUACUGGGCGUAAAGGGCGCGUAGGCGGUCAGGCAAGUGAGAUGUGAAAUCCCCGAGCUUAACUUGGGAACUGCAUCUUAAACUGCUUGGCUUGAGUACUGUAGAGGAUAGUGGAAUUUCCGGUGUAGCGGUGAAAUGCGUAGAGAUCGGAAGGAACAUCAGUGGCGAAGGCGACUGUCUGGACAGAUACUGACGCUGAGGCGCGAAAGCGUGGGGAGCAAACAGG
rnacentral:rRNA from 1 species